rnacentral:rRNA from 1 species
ACCUAGCGGCGGACGGGUGAGUAAUGCUUAGGAAUCUGCCUAUUAGUGGGGGACAACAUUCCGAAAGGAAUGCUAAUACCGCAUACGCCCUACGGGGGAAAGCAGGGGAUCUUCGGACCUUGCGCUAUUGGAUGUGCCUAUGUCGGAUUAGCUAGUUGGUGGGGUAAAGGCCUACCAAGGCGACGAUCUGUAGCGGGUCUGAGAGGAUGAUCCGCCACACUGGGACUGAGACAUGGCCCAGACUCCUACGGGAGGCA